CCCCUCUCAGGGUCACACCUGGAGAGUUUCCAGUACUCUACCAGUCUUGAUUAUGGGAGGGAGAGUCAAGCAGAGGCAUGCCUUUUCCAUUCCUAGCUUGGGCAGUGGCUAGCGAGCGGAAGGCAAUCUGCUAUAAGU